AUUGAACGCUGGCGGCAUGCCUUACACAUGCAAGUCGAACGGCAGCACGGGAGCAAUCCUGGUGGCGAGUGGCGAACGGGUGAGUAAUAUAUCGGAACGUGCCCAGUCGUGGGGGAUAACGCAGCGAAAGCUGUGCUAAUACCGCAUACGAUCUAAGGAUGAAAGCGGGGGAUCGCAAGACCUCGCGCGAUUGGAGCGGCCGAUAUCAGAUUAGCUAGUUGGUGGGGUAAAGGCCCACCAAGGCGACGAUCUGUAGCUGGUCUGAGAGGACGACCAGCCACAAUGGAACUGAGACACGGGCCAGACUCCUACGGGAGGCAGCAGUGGGGAAUUUUGGACAAUGGGCGCAAGCCUGAUCCAGCAAUGCCGCGUGCAGGAUGAAGGCCUUCGGGUUGUAAACUGCUUUUGUACGGAACGAAACGGCCCUUUCUAAUACAGGGGGCUAAUGACGGUACCGUAAGAAUAAGCACCGGCUAACUACGUGCCAGCCGCCGCCGUAACAC
rnacentral:rRNA from 1 species